rnacentral:rRNA from 1 species
AUUGAACGCUGACGGCAUGCCUUACACAUGCAAGUCGAACGGCAGCACGGAGCUUGCUCUGGUGGCGAGUGGCGAACGGGUGAGUAAUAUAUCGGAACGUACCCAAGAGUGGGGGAUAACGUAGCGAAAGUUACGCUAAUACCGCAUACGAUCUAAGGAUGAAAGCAGGGGAUCGCAAGACCUUGUGCUCCUGGAGCGGCCGAUAUCUGAUUAGCUAGUUGGUGAGGUAAAGGCUCACCAAGGCAUCGAUCAGUAGCUGGUCUGAGAGGACGACCAGCCACACUGGAACUGAGACACGGUCCAGACUCCUACGGGAGGCAGCAGUGGGGAAUUUUGGACAAUGGGGGCAACCCUGAUCCAGCAAUGCCGCGUGAGUGAAGAAGGCCUUCGGGUUGUAAAGCUCUUUUGUCAGGGAAGAAACGGUUUGACUUAAUACGUUGGACUCAUGACGGUACCGUAAGAAUAAGCACCGGCUAACUACGUGCCAGCCGCCGCAGUAA